rnacentral:rRNA from 1 species
AGUGAACGCUGGCGGUAGGCCCAACACAUGCAAGUCGAACGGCAGCACAGGAGAGCUUGCUCUCUGGGUGGCGAGUGGCGGACGGGUGAGGAAUACAUCGGAAUCUACUCUGUCGUGGGGGAUAACGUAGGGAAACUUACGCUAAUACCGCAUACGACCUACGGGUGAAAGCAGGGGACCUUCGGGCCUUGCGCGAUUGAAUGAGCCGGUGUCGGAUUAGCUAGUUGGCGGGGUAAAGGCCCAACAAGGCGACGAUCCGUAGCUGGUCUGAGAGGAUGAUCCGCCACACUGGAACUGAGACACGGUCCAGACUCCUACGGGAGGCAGCAGUGGGGAAUAUUGGACAAUGGGCGCAAGCCUGAUCCAGCCAUACCGCGUGGGUGAAGAAGGCCUUCGGGUUGUAAAGCCCUUUUGUUGGGAAAGAAAUCCAGCUGGCUAAUACCCGGUUGGGAUGACGGUACCCAAAGAAUAAGCACCGGCUAACUUCGUGCCAGCCGCCGCGGUAA